AUAAAAGCGUGGAUAGGGAAGAGUAGUCAAAAAACGAGCUUUUCAGCGAGCGGGGGGGAGUGUAAGCUCCGCAGGUAUCUUUUUGGUGAAUGGGCCCUUGAGCUGCUAACCGAAAUAAUAGUAGGCUUAGUCGGAGUGUCUCACCGUUAUGUAGAGACAGGGUAUCGGACAGCAUCCUGUACCUGAGAGCGAGGCUAUCAUGCCUAACAAGGUGGUACCACGGAAGAGUAUCUUUCGUCCUUACA
rnacentral:ncRNA from 1 species